rnacentral:rRNA from 1 species
CCCUUAGAUGUUCUGGGCUGCACGCGCGCUCCACUGAUGCACUCAACGAGUUUACGACCUUGCCCGAUAGGGUUGGGUAAUCUUUUUAAAAUGCAUCGUGAUGGGGAUAGAUUAUUGCAAUUAUUAAUCUUCAACGAGGAAUUCCUAGUAAGCGCGAGUCAUCAGCUCGUGCUGAUUACGUCCCUGCCCUUUGUACACACCGCCCGUCGCUCCUACCGAUUGAGUGCUCAGGUGAAUAAUUCGGACUGCAGCAAUGUUUGGAUCCCGAACGUUGCAGCGGAAAGUUUAGUGAACCUUAUCACUUAGAGGAAGGAGAAGUCGUAACA